CAGUGAGAACUGCAGAAGAGUCUUACGUACACAGGGUAAGAGGUUGCGUGCCGACGCUAGCAGCAGGUAAGCAAACAGCAGUUGAUGAUAGGGCCACGCAGUAGUACCAUCAAGUGCCCCCUCCCCACGCACGCGUCGUCGCACCCCGCCCCGUCGCCCCAGUGCCGCGAACAGAGUGCGCGAUAUUCCGUACCUCCACGCUCGAUACAGCGGCAGCGGUGCUUCCUGGUGCACGCUUCGAGGCCAGCCCCAUGUCGUGCCGCCCCCCUCUUCUUUGCAUCGGCGCCGUCGCUGCCCGCUGCUCUUCCUCUACGGUGUGGACGGCGUCAGCCGCGUGGCGCCGCCUUGUUUGUGUGGCGGCAUCGUCGUGUGCAAGCGCGAGCUCCCUUCCCUUGGGCAGUCUCCAGAGGCGCACGAUGUUGUACUCGACGUUUGACGCCAUGCGUUCGAAGAAGUCCGCCGCGCGAUCAAAAGGCGCUCUCGGCGGCGCCGGCAGCAGAGACGAUAAUGUCGGCGCAAGGGCAACGGGCGCGCCGCUCUCGGGUGCUGGCGCGUUCUCGUCGACUUCAACGCGACCGUUGCAGUCCUCGGUGCAGUUUCAGAAGGAAGCGGAAAUGGCUUUCCCGAAAACUCUCAAAAGCGGCCGGCCAGCGCAACAGAACACCAUAUCGCAGCAGCUCUUCUACGCGAACCCCGCCAACGUCGCGGAUGUGGCGCGCCAGCAGCAGCGGGACCGCGAGUACACACAGCAGAUGCGUGAGCUGCACGCCAAGAGGGGUUCAGCCGAUCGCCGCUUCUUUCAGCGCAUGACGGACUACCGCGACAUUCAAGAUGGCGACCCGUACGCGUCCGUCUUCGGGGAGUCCGGCGGGACGCAGCGGCUGCGCACCGCCGCGUGGCAGCGGCAGUUCGAGAAGGAGAACGAAGAUGUUGAGCUGCCGUACGAGCGCACCAACGUGCUCGCGCGUCUCGCACCGAACCGGUUCGUGCGGUACUUCGUAAAUCUGCGCGACAAGGGCGGGGCGGACCACCUCUACUUCCUGUGGGCAUGUGCCCUCAUCGUGGUGUCGCUGUUGUGGGUUGUCGGGUACCUCUUCUACACCGCUCCUAGUCGGGCACGACCGACGAGCGAGAUCCGCUAAGGAUGAUGCGCGCGUGCGCGGUCGAAGGCACAGCAAGGGUUGCGGGCGACAAGGGCAGUCAUCCUUUGCGGCCACAUGUCAGCCGCGACGCCUCGCUGGAGAGGCGCGCGCUUCCGCACACGCACGCACCCGUACGGUGCAACGCGCACAGUUCACGAGCAUCAGUGCAACGGCUCACGGCCCCCGUGCGCGGGGAGAACCCUCUGAAGGAGGGAGGCCACAACCG
rnacentral:misc_RNA from 1 species